CACGCAGCCCCGCCUCCCAUGGAGACCCGGCCUGAGGAGCAGAGGCGGGAGCUUCGAGAGUAGGGCGGUGCGAAAAGAGAUGGAUCCAAAAAAAUAUUGCUGCCUCCCCACAGCACCUCUGGGAUCCUCUGACAAGCCACAUCCAUGCCUGACCCAAGACAAGCUGCCUUGGCUUCCCUGCAGGUACCUGCCCUGGGAGGGACAUGGCUACUGGGCAGUAAAAGACACGGACUCUCCUCCUUCAGGGCUCUGAACCUGAGAGGAAGCUACAAAGAUACCCUCUCUGCUGUUGACAUUACCUGCUAGAAGAGAAUUGAGGAUGACAGCAUGGCUAAAGUGUGGCAUUUCUUGUAGAG